rnacentral:rRNA from 1 species
CCUACGGGGGGCUGCAGUGGGGAAUAUUGCACAAUGGGGGAAACCCUGAUGCAGCGACGCCGCGUGAGUGAAGAAGUAUUUCGGUACGUAAAGCUCUAUCAGCAGGGAAGAAAAAAAGUCCUUUGGACUUUGGACGGUACCUGACUAAGAAGCACCGGCUAACUACGUGCCAGCAGCCGCGGUAAUCCGUAGGGGGCAAGCGUUAUCCGGAUUUACAGGGUGUAAAGGGAGCGUAGACGGCAGCGCAAGUCUGGAGUGAAAUGCCGGGGCCCAACCCCGGAACUGCUUUGGAAACUGUGCAGCUGGAGUGCAGGAGAGGUAAGCGGAAUUCCUAGUGUAGCGGUGAAAUGCGUAGAUAUUAGGAGGAACACCAGUGGCGAAGGCGGCUUACUGGACUGUAACUGACGUUGAGGCUCGAAAGCGUGGGGAGCAAACAGGAUUAGAUACCCUUGUAGUC